rnacentral:rRNA from 1 species
UGGGGAAUAUUGCACAAUGGGCGCAAGCCUGAUGCAGCCAUGCCGCGUGUGUGAAGAAGGCCUUCGGGUUGUAAAGCACUUUCAGCGGGGAGGAAGGCGUUAAGGUUAAUAACCUUGGCGAUUGACGUUACCCGCAGAAGAAGCACCGGCUAACUCCGUGCCAGCAGCCGCGGUAAUACGGAGGGUGCAAGCGUUAAUCGGAAUUACUGGGCGUAAAGCGCACGCAGGCGGUUUGUUAAGUCAGAUGUGAAAUCCCCGGGCUCAACCUGGUAACUGCAUCUGAUACUGGCAAGCUUGAGUCUCGUAGAGGGGGGUAGAAUUCCAGGUGUAGCGAUGACAUGCGGAGAGCUCUGGAUGUAUACCGGUGGCGGAGGCGGCCCCCUGGACGAAGACUGACGCUCAGGUGCGAAAGCGUGGGGAGCAAACAGG